AUCUCCACUAUCACUGACGAGAACAAGCGCUACUUGGAAACCAAGCGCGAGAAAAUGGGCCAUGUCUAUGGCUCGGACUUAUUUCUCAUUGCUGACAAGGUAAAUGGGGAGAAAAAGAGCCAAAAUUCUCUUUAAUAAUACGUCGAGUGUUCGAAUCUCGGUAAUCAUCAAAUUCUUUCCAAAUUUGCAAGCUGGAAAUUUCCGAACAUGAAAAACUUUCCCAUUGAGAGAGCAGCCUUACCUCUAACUGGUUUGGAAGAAAACUGUUGGACGGCUUUCAAUGUCGAUGCCGCUUUUGCG
rnacentral:lncRNA from 1 species